rnacentral:hammerhead_ribozyme from 1 species
AUCCAGCUGACGAGUCCCAAAUAGGACGAAACAUGAGUCCCGGAU